GAGGAUUCACAGUAAAUACCAAAUGGUCCACUUAUUGAAAUAAAUAUGAUGCCUUACUAAAGAUAUAGAAGGGACAAUGCUAUACCAGGGAAUGCCAAACUAGAUGAAAAUAAGUAGCUGAUUAUGUGUGUUUUAUCUCUUUCAACUCUUUAUAAAAACAUCCUUUUGGCUCCAACAUUUACAACAAAGACGGAUGCCAAAUGGAAAUUCAAUAAGAGAUAGAAGUCGACCAUACGAAAUGGCUAAGGCAUCAGUCUUAACACAAGAAGCUAGCAGAGAAUCAUCUAAUUCGAAUAAGCUACAGCUUUGGUUUGACAAACUGAUAAGCAGAUUCUAAUGACUAUAUGGAACAGAUGGUAUUGACUUUACAUUCAUAUCGAAUCACAUUAAUCAAAAGAGGAAGCAAAAUAACCCAUUCAAAUGAUUAAACUAACUAACAAGAACAGAGGGAAUAACAAAUAUGAAGUAACGCUCUUCCAAGUGACUCUUUAUGUUAUGUAUCAAAUUAGUUCAAUCCAUAUUCUCAACUGAUGUGACUUCUUGAUUAAGGAAACAAACUGGACACAAUUUCUGAUGAAGCAAACAGGAAUAGUCAAACCACUUAAGAGGAUACCUAACGGUGCAUAAAAGCCACUUAGUUAUCGCCACUAAAGUAGUCACUGUAGAAUGGUUGCAGCAUAAUAUUAUUUCUGCAAAUCUGAACUGAUUGUUGCUAGUGCCCAUUGUGGUACAAACGUAGUAAUGAAGCGUUAACAUUCAACAAAACAGGCAAAUUUUUCAGCAGGCUAACAGUUCAAACAAAUGUCCCAAAAUACUGCCCGUAUCAGCUCGAUCUACUGCUGAAAUCGAAUUCUUCAGCAACUCGAGAGAGCAAAAUUACUAUGGAAGUAACAAGACAGACAAAGCAUGGACAAAAGAGGGAAAAUAGAGCAACUAUGAGCAUACACAAUCAGCGAAACAAUUUGGCCUCAACACCACUUUAAACCAAGGCAAAACAAAAUCAAACCCGCCAAGGAUGAACCAAACUUUGUCAUGAAACCCAAGUUAAAUCAGCUCAUCACUUGAACAAGUGAGGUCUACAUUAGAUGAUGCUUCAUAACAAACACAAAUCACUAGACUUUGCCAUUUGUAACAUGUCCUGAUAAGUGCAACUGAUUGAGCCACAAAGCAGCUGUAAACAAAACUAAUUGGGUAAUAAUUUCUUGAACUCGUAUUGAAUUAGAGAUGUACAAGAAAUUAUGCAAUCGUCACUGAAUCGACAAACAUAUGCAACACCUUAUCUGACAUCCACAGGCUCGAUCAAGCCUCCAUCAUUCCUACCAAAGUCAAACAACUCCGCCCUCCAUCACUGUGUUAGAUGAAGACCAGAUCACGUGUACAACAUCCAAUCGAUACAUAGCUAAGAAGCAAAACUGAAAAUGAAGAAUAUAGCUCACAUUCUGAAAUUAAUCACGAGCUAAUCAUACCAUGACAGGAAACAACAACAGAAGACACUUUCAGAGAACUCAUUUAAGAUGUACACAGCUAAACCAAGCCAGAGAUACUCGUAAAAAUGGCAAGCAAAUACAUUACGACCAGCAGUCACCAAGAUUCAAAUAGUUCCAAACCAGCUGAACUCAAAUUCUCAUUACACUUCUUAAUCAAAUACCAAAAAUAGGCUACAUGGGAUUAGAAAUGAACCUGAAUCGACAAGCACCUGCAAUUAACUUUGCUCAAAUGUUGAAUACAAGUGAAAUCCAAUAACAAAUAUUAGCAACCAACAGUAGAGAUGAGUAAGAAUCAGAAGCUCGGAUAACGACAAACUUAACUAUUUUCAGUCGAACCCCAUAUUAAACGAACUCCAUCACAAGCGAGAUUAACCCAGAGAUGAUAUGCAAAGAAAUCGAAUUUUUUGUAUUUUUGUUCUUUGAUUCUGACAAAGAAAGAGAGAAUUAAGCAUAAAAAGAAACUCGACCCAUUUUUUGGAAUAUUUUCUGUAUUUUUUACGAGAAGAAACAAGGAAGAUGAGAAUCGACCCCAGAAAUUCUUUUUAGAGAAAAACCAGAAGUAUUUUUCAUAUAAAAAAACUCAUCCAAAUUUCCUUCUAAAAUCCCUUUCCGAAAUCCAUCCUCAUAAAAAAAUCCCCUAAACAAAAGAGUCUCACCUAAUAUAUAUUCCUCCAAAGAUCUCGAACCUUCUUCCUUUAUCUCCUAGAAAUCCCUCUAAAUCUCUUUAUAAAAUCUGAAAUUUUUUUAGCCUUGCUUAUGGUGAAAACGGACAAAUGGAGGGAGUGGAUCGAAUCCAAUACAAUCCAAUGCUCCCCAUUUUUCCAUAUAUUCACCCCAAAGGCUAAAAUCCGAAAAAAAAAAAUCGAAGCGAUAGCAUGUGAGGGAGAGAAUGUGUUAGAGGUGGUCAGAAAUAUGGUGACGAGGAGAAAGGAGAACGCGUGAGGCGAUAUUGGGAGCUCACUCGCGUGAAUUUUGGGCUGAAAUGAGGGUCGGGUUCGGGUGUUCUUCAGAGAAGAAGAACAUUCACGUGGGUGUGCUUC
rnacentral:lncRNA from 1 species